rnacentral:rRNA from 1 species
AUUGAACGCUGGCGGCAGGCCUAACACAUGCAAGUCGAACGGAGCGGCGGACGGGUGCGUAAUGCCUAGGACUCGGACUGGUAGUGGGGGAUAACGUCAGGAAACGGGCGCUAAUGCCGAAUACUAUCAGCUGAGCCUAGGUCGGAUUAGCUAGUUGGUGUGGUAAAGGCCUACCAAGGCCACGAUCCGUAACUGGUCUUGGAGGAUGAUCAGUCACACUGGAACUGAGACACGGGCCAGCCUCCUACGGGAGGCAGCAGUGGGGAAUAUUGGACAAUGGGCGAAAGCCUGAUCCAGCCAUGCCGCGUGGUUGAAGAAGGUCUUCGGAUUGUAAAGCACUUUAAGUUGGGAGGCGUUACCAACAGAAUAAGCACCGGCUAACUUCGUGCCAGCAGCCGCGGUAAUAC